AACUCUCAACAACGGAUCACUUGGUUCUGGCAUCGAUGAAGAACGCAGCGAAAUGCGAUAAGUAAUGCGAAUUGCAGAAUUCAGUGAGUCAUCGAAUCUUUGAACGCACAUUGCGCCCUCUGGUAUUCCGGAGGGCAUGCCUGUCCGAGCGUCAUUAUCACCAAUCAAGCCCGGCUUGCUAUUGAGCCAUCCCCGGCAAGUCCAUCUGCCGGGGGCUCGAAAAACAGUGGCGGCGUCUUUGGCCCCGAGUACAACGAGCUUCUCUCUCAAGAGGCACGUAUUCUGGCGGCCGGCGGGCGUCGAUCCAGAAACCUCUGUCUUCUGACGGUUGACCUCGGAUCAGGUAGGAAUACCCGCUGAACUUAAGCAUAUCAAUAAGCGGAGGCU
rnacentral:misc_RNA from 1 species